rnacentral:tRNA from 1 species
GGUUAUGGCUCAGUGGUAGAGCACUUGCUUAGCAAGUGUGAGGCAUUGGGUUCAAUUUUCAGCACCA